rnacentral:rRNA from 1 species
UACGAAGGGGGCUAGCGUUGUUCGGAAUUACUGGGCGUAAAGCGCACGUAGGCGGAUUGUUAAGUCGGGGGUGAAAUCCUGAGGCUCAACCUCAGAACUGCCUUCGAUACUGGCGAUCUUGAGUUCGGAAGAGGUUGGUGGAACAGCUAGUGUAGAGGUGAAAUUCGUAGAUAUUAGCUAGAACACCAGUGGCGAAGGCGGCUCACUGGCCCGGUACUGACGCUGAGGUGCGAAAGCGUGGGGAGCAAACAGG